ensembl:processed_transcript
GAGAUUUCAGAGGCAUAAGUGCCUUCAUGAAUCAUUAAGUGUGGGAGGCAGAGACAUGACUCUGAGUGUUCAUGCCUGCCUCACGGGGGCCACGGUGGUGCUGCCACCAGAUAAUGAACCAUCAAGAAGAGAUGAAGUUUGGAAGGAGGAUUCUUAGAUCAGGAUUCAUGAUAGUGUCGUAAGUGAAUUGAAGGUACUCACUACGGGCUACACUAAUCUACCACCCGGAAAAUAUUUUUCUCCAGGGAUCGCACAGAGGUACUGAGAGUAAAUAAGAUGAUUUAAGAACUACGAAGAAGCAAGCAAUGACCUAACUGAAAGACCGUAAUCCCAAUGCUAGUUGGGUCACAGAAACUGAGUGGAAAGUGGAGAAAAGAAAAGGAAAUUCUAAGUUCGUGGAAAGAAGUGAAAGAAUGAUAAGGGUUGGGGUGAAGAUGGGGCAAUAUGUUAAAAAUACAUUGCAUGAAGUUCUGGAAGACUCAACAAACAUAUUUUGAAUAUGUUGAAUUACUCAGCGGUCAACGAGUCCUCACCUACUUCAGCUACUUGUAUGAUUAUUAGAAAUGUUGCUGUUUCAAUAUAUUAUCAAACAUGCUCCCGAACAGGAAUGAAUUAAUUUAUGCCUAAUAAACAUGCUAUUUUCACAAAGAAAUGCAAUUCACUUUGAGAAAUUAGUACAAAACUUACCAAACCAUUUUAAAUCCAAUUUGUCUUACAUUGAUAGAGUACACUUGAAUUUAUCUCUGCAACUAGAAUACCAGCUAUCAUUUUGUCUAAAAAAAAACCGAACCUACUUCAUUACCUUUUUGAAUGCCAUUUGUAAGUUGUGCAUCUAAAAGCUUUGCAGACUGUGUGUGUGAGUUAAAAUAAUUUUCAAGAAUGUCUUACCAGAAGUUGUCUUCACUACUUCCGUUGUAUUCCUCAAUCCAACAAAGGAAAAUUGAUACAGCCUCCAUGAUCUUGUGUCACCCACUUCAACAGAACUGCGCUUCCAUUGAUAAACAAUUUCUUCACGAGGAUAUCCAUCUACCAUGAGAUGGGAAAACUCAGCCAGAGGUAGCAACCACCUUCUUUGAAUAACUUGUAAAUACCAAGGGAGAACAAAACUGAAAGUCAUAUGAGCACACUGGACUGGCCUUGUGGAAUUUGCCUCCCAGGAAAUUAACAAAAUAUAUAUCAAAUCCUGCUGGAAAAGACUGAAAGUAAGAAAGUCAAAACUGCCUUUUAAAAAUCUCGCUUUUAGUUGCAUGUAAUGUAAACAAUGAAGGAUAUUCUAAAUGUUGUAUUUGUACUUUAUAUCACUUUUGUAAGAUACAAAAGUAUCCAGUACAAAGUGAAAAUUAGAUAUGUAAAAGAGUAUUUUGUAAUGAAGUAAAUUACAUAUGAUCAAUUCUGUCUUUUAAAAUUAACUACGGUCAUGACUAUCUUGAUUUUAGGAGUCUCUCUGACUCUAUUGAAGAGAAAUUAUGUUGAUGAAAAUGCUUGUUUAAAAUCCAUCAUUAAUAUUUCAUUCAUUCAAAAAUAUCUAACUGCUAAACCGGAAAUAAGGCAGAGAUGGAUAAUCUAAUAUCGAUAUUGAACAAAUAGGAAUUCAUGUAGAAAAGUGAGGCCUGUUUGCUUUAGAAUAUCUGUGGAAGUUUUAAUAUUUAAUUGGUGGUAGAGUUGUCAAAAUCCCUUUGAUAUGUUGAAAAUAUCUUCUCUGAUGAAAAUAAUAAGUCAGGCUUUUACAGUGUUGACAUAUCAUACAUUUUUACAAAUAUUAUACCAACAAAACAGAGUUAAUGUGAAAUAUACUUUGUUUAAGAAUGUGUUAUAUAACAUUCUUCUGAGUCCCAUGAUGAAGGAUAUUGGAGGUAUAGUAUCAACCAUGUAUACGUUCUAUUGAGUCCUGGCCUGGCCUUACAGUCCACCUCAAUAGUCAGUCUGGACACAUUGUCUAUUUUCUAAGAGUUGCCCAUUCUAUCAAUUCUUCUUGUAAAGAUUGUUUUAAUUGGGACAGUUUGAAGUACAAUAAAAAAUGAUGUCAAAAUCAAUAGCAAAGCUCAGUGCCACUAUGCAAUUUCUCAGAUUCACUGCAUUAAUUGACAAGGCAAUUAGAGUGACUACAGGUGGCAGGGCACAAUCUGGGGAGAAUAUUACUUACAACUGGAGAACUCCAGGGGGCAGGAGUGUUCAUCCAUUGGGAAGUUGUGUAAUUGCAACUGGCACUCAGCAUCAAUUGUUAGCCUAAUUAGAACAACAAUAAACAUACAGAGAAAAAAUGCUAACAUCAUUUUUACAGUGCACACUGACAUCCUUUCUAGAACAAUCUUACACUGUGAUUGAUAAAACAAAGUGAUCCUCUAUGAAUAAAAUUCAAGUUCUAGGUAAGAAUUAUUUCCGAGCAUAUUUUAUUUACAUAGCAGACAGAACCACCCAAUUCACCUCAACUCCAUUAAUUCAAAAUAUGUGGAUACUUGUUUUAUAUUUUAUCUUAUUUAUUUUUGCAAAUUAGCUGCACACAGGAGAUUUCUCAGUGAAUAUUUUUAACUUAUUUAAGAGAACAAACUGUUUUAGGAACUUAAGCUCGUUUAAUGUUUGCAUCAAAUGAAUGCUGACAGUUCUCUGAUCUUAUCAGCUAAUUAACACGAAGCCUUCUGUUGGCAAGAACUUGCUGUUUUUAAAUUGCCAUAGGUGGGUUUUAAAAUACCACUGCUGCACAAGGGACUGGUAUGCACUUUUACAACAGAGAUAGAUAGAUAGAUAGAUAGAUAGAUAGAUAGAUAGAUAGAUNNNNNNNNNNNNNNNNNNNNNNNNNNNNNNNNNGAAUAAAAGUUAACAUUAAAUGAAAAAAAAGAAAGCAAGCUACGUAGAUAGAUAAAAUUAUUUUCCUAUAUAAGAUGUUAUAGGAGAGGAUAUCUAAAAGUUAACAAGAGAUGCUAAAUGCACAUACAAUGAGACAAUGAGAAUGACUUCACCAUUGAGUCUCAGUUUAAACAAAGUUUAAAACCUCAAGAUGUGCAGUUUUAAGCCCUGGACUGUGACUCAAGAAGGGAGUUUAAAUCUGAAGGAUUAUAGAUGUUCUGACUACCUUUGGAAAGGCAUAGAAAAAAAAUAGAAUCAAACUGUAAUGGUGAUGAUUGGUGGCUUUCAGAAUGUUCAUGUUUGUCAGCUACAUUUCUUACAAGCUACAAUACCACUGCUUAAGUGAUAGAAAUGUUAUUUUACAAAAAUUAAAUUUAAAGGAUUUUCUAAUUAGCAUGACUUUUCAUUGAGGACAUGUUAGAUGUUUUGUGGUACAAGAGAGCAAUGAAUAAUCUUUAUGUGUAUUUUCAAUGGCCUAUGAAGCCUUGAUGAACUGAACUACUUCUGUACUAAAUGCUGUGAUGGCUCCGUUGCACUGAAAUGUAUUCAAGGUCACAGGGACCAGGAACACGGUUAUGAUUUGUACUUAGACUCUUCACUCUUCGUCACAGCAGGAGACUUUAAUCACUGUUUCUACGAUCAUUCUUCAAAGAAUAGUUUGGCUUUACUCCCAAAUGAGAUUUUAAUUAAAUCUGGUUUUUAUUAGAAUUAUCUCUCAAAAUAAAUUGAUAUUCUUCUUAUUAAGAUAAUACAGAUAGAUUGCAGAUAUAAGUAUAGAUUCAGAAGUAUUAAUAGCUCUACAAAUACAUGCACACAUAUAUUCAGACAUUUAUAGCUUAGAUAAGCAACUAAAUUAAAAAUCAUCUUUCUUUAUAAAUACAUACAUUGUUUCAAGUCUUAAGCAGAUCAUAAUUGACACUUAAAGGAGGGUUCUAUAAUUAAACACUGUUCCCCAAAUUAAUAAGAACUCAAAAUUGACGACAACAUUAUAAUAUGAUAACAAGACUUGAGGUAGAGUGAAUGAUUGCAGAUUUCACAAGCCAAAUGAACUCUGAUUUAUCAUUCAGACUUUGAUUUUCACAUUUCUAAUUCUAGUCAUUACCUUAUCAGGAAUUUAAUAAAUUCCCACUGAAUCUAAAAUAGGCACAAUGACUUUCUUUUGCAAUUAUGGUAGAGAUUUCAAAUCAUUUGAAAGUAUUAUGCCUUAUAUGUUUAGUAUUAAGCAUUUACAAAGAAUAAAUAUAUUUUACUGGUACAUAUGAUAUGUUAACUUAGAUGUACAUUGUUUAGAUAUUUCUAAAAUAUAAAUAAAUCUUACAAUAUACCAUGCCCC